AGCUUGUAUUUUUGUGGCAGUAUCUAUUCACUAUUUCUAUCUGGCCGGAUUUUCUUGGAUGCUUAUGGAGGGAGCCUACUUGUAUCUCAUGGUGGUUAAAGUAUACAACGCCGUUGUAAGAAUGAAGUUACUCUACGCUUUCUCCUGGGGAUUUCCUCUUCUAAUGGUGACUUCAUCGAUUGUUAUCGCCUCUGGCUCUACUGAGGGAAUAUGGGGCUACGUACAUGGUGACUUAGCUCUAUCAGUAACAUUGCGAAAGGUUUCGAGGGAGUCUCAGUAAUAAAGAACUUGUCAAGUCCAUUCGUGCUUCAAAUUGACACUCAACGGUAAAUGACAC